rnacentral:tRNA from 1 species
GAGGAUGUGGCUCAAGCGGUAGCGCGCUCGCCUGGCAUGCGUGAAGCCUGGGUUCAAUCCUCAGCACCACA